GACGUAGGGCGCGAGCGUUGUCCGGAUUUAUUGGGCGUAAAGAGCUCGUAGGCGGCUUGUUGCGUCGACUGUGAAAACCCGCAGCUUAACUGCGGGCCUGCAGUUGAUACGGGCAGGCUAGAGUUCGGUAGGGGAGACUGGAAUUCCUGGUGUAGCGGUGAAAUGCGUAGAUAUCUGGAGGAAUGCCGGUGGCGAAGGCGGCAUCCUGGACCGGCAUUGACGCUGAUGAGCGAAAGCUAGGGGAGCAAACGGG
rnacentral:rRNA from 1 species